AAAAAGGAGAAGAAAAAAU
rnacentral:sRNA from 1 species